rnacentral:rRNA from 1 species
AGAGUUUGAUCCUGGCUCAGAUUGAACGCUGGCGGCAUGCUUUACACAUGCAAGUCGAACGGGGUGAGGGGGCAACUCUUCAUUCAGUGGCGAACGGGUGAGUAAUGCAUCGGAACGUGUCCCGUAGUGGGGGAUAACGCCGCGAAAGCGGCGCUAAUACCGCAUAUGCUCUACGGAGGAAAGCAGGGGACCUGAGAGGGCCUUGUGCUGGGGGAGCGGCCGAUGUCCGAUUAGCUUGUUGGUGGGGUAACGGCCUACCAAGGCUGCGAUCGGUAGCUGGUCUGAGAGGAUGAUCAGCCACACUGGGACUGAGACACGGCCCAGACUCCUACGGGAGGCAGCAGUGGGGAAUUUUGGACAAUGGGGGCAACCCUGAUCCAGCCAUGCCGCGUGCGGGAAGAAGGCCUUCGGGUUGUAAACCGCUUUUAGCCGGGAAGAAAAGUCUACGGAUAACACCCGUGGGUUUUGACGGUACCGGCGGAAUAAGCACCGGCUAACUACGUGCCAGCAGCCGCGGUAAUACGUAGGGUGCGAGCGUUAAUCGGAAUUACUGGGCGUAAAGCGUGCGCAGGCGGUUCGUUGUGUCGGUGGUGAAAGCCCCGGGCUUAACCUGGGAAUGGCCAUGGAAACUGGCGAACUGGAGUGUGGCAGAGGGGGGUGGAAUUCCGCGUGUAGCAGUGAAAUGCGUAGAGAUGCGGAGGAACACCGAUGGCGAAGGCAGCCCCCUGGGCUAGCACUGACGCUCAGGCACGAAAGCGUGGGG